rnacentral:rRNA from 1 species
GUGAGGAAUAUUGGUCAAUGGGCGGGAGCCUGAACCAGCCAAGUCGCGUGAAGGAAGAAGGAUCUAUGGUUCGUAAACUUCUUUUGCAGGGGAAUAAAGUGCAGGACGUGUCCUGUUUUGUAUGUACCCUGAGAAUAAGGAUCGGCUAACUCCGUGCCAGCAGCCGCGGUAAUACGGAGGAUCCGAGCGUUAUCCGGAUUUAUUGGGUUUAAAGGGUGCGUAGGUGGUUUGAUAAGUCAGCGGUGAAAGUUUGCAGCUUAACUGUAAAAAUGCCGUUGAAACUGUUGGAAUUGAGUGUAAAUGAGGUAGGCGGAAUGCGUGGUGUAGCGGUGAAAUGCAUAGAUAUCACGCAGAACUCCGAUUGCGAAGGCAGCUUACUAAGCUACAACUGACACUGAAGCACGAAAGCGUGGGGAUCAAACAGGAUUAGAUACCCUAGUAGUCC